rnacentral:rRNA from 1 species
GAUGAACGCUGGCGGCGUGCCUAAUACAUGCAAGUCGAGCGAACAGACGAGGAGCUUGCUCCUCUGACGUUAGCGGCGGACGGGUGAGUAACACGUGGAUAACCUACCUAUAAGACUGGGAUAACUUCGGGAAACCGGAGCUAAUACCGGAUAAUAUAUUGAACCGCAUGGUUCAAUAGUGAAAGACGGUUUUGCUGUCACUUAUAGAUGGAUCCGCGCCGCAUUGGCUAGUUGGUAAGGUAACGGCUUACCAAGGCAACGAUGCGUAGCCGACCUGAGAGGGGGUCGGGCCCAACAGAAAGUGAGAAACGGCCCAGACCCUAAGGGAGGGAGGAGUGGGGAAAAUUGGGCAAAAGGGGGAAACCCUGCCCAGGCAACGCGCGGGGGUUGAAGAAGGCUUUCGGGUGGAAAAACCUUUUUAUGGGGAAAAAAAAAAGUUGGAAGAAACUAGGCAGGUUUGACGGGAACCAAAAAAGAAGCCCCGGCUAAAUUCGUG